rnacentral:tRNA from 1 species
UUUAAAGUGGCAGACUAGUGCAAUGAAUUUAAGAUUCAGUAAUGAGUUAAUUAACUCCUUUAGAA